AUUGAACGCUGGCGGCAUGCUUUACACAUGCAAGUCGAACGGUAACAGGUUAAGCUGACGAGUGGCGAACGGGUGAGUAAUGCAUCGGAACGUGCCCGAUCGUGGGGGAUAACGCAGCGAAAGCUGCGCUAAUACCGCAUACGAUCUGAGGAUGAAAGCGGGGGACCGUAAGGCCUCGCGCGAUCGGAGCGGCCGAUGUCAGAUUAGGAGUUGGUGGGGUAAAGGCUCACCAAGCCGACGAUCUGUAGCUGGUCUGAGAGGACGACCAGCCACACUGGGACUGAGACACGGCCCAGACUCCUACGGGAGGCAGCAGUGGGGAAUUUGGACAAUGGCGCAAGCCUGAUCCAGCAAUA
rnacentral:rRNA from 1 species